rnacentral:rRNA from 1 species
GACGAACGCUGGCGGCGUGCCUAACACAUGCAAGUCGAGCGGAGAUAUAUGGAAGGUUUACCGGAAAUAUAUCUUAGUGGCGGACGGGUGAGUAACGCGUGGGCAACCUGCCUCAUACAGGGGGAUAACACAGGGAAACUUGUGCUAAUACCGCAUGAAAUCAUAGUAUGGCAUCAUACAAUGAUCAAAGGAGCAAUCCGGUAUGAGAUGGGCCCGCGUCCGAUUAGCUAGUUGGUGAGGUAACGGCUCACCAAGGCGACGAUCGGUAGCCGAACUGAGAGGUUGAUCGGCCACAUUGGGACUGAGACACGGCCCAGACUCCUACGGGAGGCAGCAGUGGGGAAUAUUGCGCAAUGGGGGAAACCCUGACGCAGCAACGCCGCGUGAAGGAAGAAGGCCUUCGGGUUGUAAACUUCUUUGAUAGGGGACGAUAAUGACGGUACCCUAAAAACAAGCCACGGCUAACUACGUG